rnacentral:lncRNA from 1 species
UUUUGUAAAAUAAUUUUACAUCAUUUUUGUGCAAAAUUUUCUUAUUCUGAAAACUAGGUCAGCUCACUCCUGAAUUGAGUUGGCUCACUUCAGUGGGUCGACUAAGUCUGAUACUUGAUCAACUAAUUGAUCAUGACUAGCAACCAUUACUGUUUGGUCUGAGACAACUAGGUUGGCUCAGUCAGCACUGAGCCGACUAAGCCAAGGGACUGGAUCGACUAAGUUCAAAACUGAGUCGGCUCAGUGGGCAUGCCAGUAGGUUUCACAUAGUUCAGAUCUAAAAAUUCUCAUAUAAACUAAAAUAAAAUUAAUCAUAAACAAAUUUUAGAUCAUAUCUAAAUAUUUUAUGAUUCUAAAUUUUAUUUUUUAUGAUUAAAAUAAUUUUAAUUAUAUAGAUUAGAUAUUUUAUUUUUCAUACAACUCAAACUUUAUAUCACAUGCAAUAAAUCUUAGGAUUUCAAUAUCUAAGAUUUUGUAGAAAAAUAAGUUCUUCCUUUUAUGUUCUUCUUCAAGGGAUUAAAUGACAUGGCACCCCUACACACCA